rnacentral:rRNA from 3 species
UUGACCUCAAAUCAGGUAGGACUACCCGCUGAACUUAAGCAUAUCAAUAAGCGGAGGAAAAGAAACUAACAAGGAUUCCCCUAGUAACUGCGAGUGAAGCGGGAAAAGCUCAAAUUUGAAAUCUGGCGGUUCUUGAUCGUCCGAGUUGUAAUCUAGAGAAGUGUUACCUGUGCUGGACCGUGUAAAAGUCUCCUGGAAUGGAGCAUCAUAGAGGGUGAGAAUCCCGUCUUUGACACGGACUGCCUGUACAUUAUGGUGCGCUCUCAAAGAGUCGAGUUGUUUGGGAAUGCAGCUCAAAAUGGGUGGUAAAUGCCAUCUAAAGCUAAAUAUUGGCGAGAGACCGAUAGCGAACAAGUACCGUGAGGGAAAGAUGAAAAGAACUUUGGAAAGAGAGUUAAACAGUACGUGAAAUUGCUGAAAGGGAAACGCUUGAAGUCAGUCACGUCGGCUAGAAAUCAGCCUUGCUCCUGCUUGGUGUACUUUCUGGUUGACGGGUCAGCAUCAGUUUUGGCCGCUGGAUAAAGUCUUUGGGAAUGUGGCAUCUUUGGAUGUGUUAUAGCCCAUUGUCGCAUACAGCGGUUGGGAUUGAGGAACUCAGCACGCCUGCAAAGGCCGGGUUUCGACCACGUUCGUGCUCAGGAUGCUGGCAUAAUGGCUUUAAUCGACCCGUC